UACGGGGGGGCAAGCGUUGUUCGGAAUUACUGGGCGUAAAGGGUUUGUAGGUGGCCGGCUAAGUCAGACGUGAAAUCCCUCAGCUUAACUGGGGAACUGCGUCUGGGACUGGUCGGCUUGAGGGCCGGAGAGGAACGCGGAAUUCCAGGUGUAGCGGUGAAAUGCGUAGAUAUCUGGAGGAACACCGGUGGCGAAGGCGGCGUUCUGGACGGCAUCUGACGCUGAGGCGCGAAAGCUAGGGGAGCAAACAGG
rnacentral:rRNA from 1 species